AAAUUCUCAAAGCAAAUUCUUUUGUUAAUUCAAUUGGUUUACUUUGGAUUUGGAGGUUUUGCAGAUUUCUACAAUCUGCUCCUCUUGAAUGUAUUAGCUGGAUCUCAGUAUAUACUUGGUUCCACUCAGUGUGAUAAGUAUCACUCACUGAGGACACCUGUAAAAAAGGUGGCCAAGGAAUACAGAUGAACUGCUUCUAAGAGUCUAUUAGG
rnacentral:misc_RNA from 2 species